GUGGGGAAUAUUGGACAAUGGGCGAAAGCCUGAUCCAGCCAUGCCGCGUGUGUGAAGAAGGUCUUCGGAUUGUAAAGCACUUUAAGUUGGGAGGAAGGGCAGUAAGUUAAUACCUUGCUGUUUUGACGUUACCAACAGAAUAAGCACCGGCUAACUUCGUGCCAGCAGCCGCGGUAAUACGAAGGGUGCAAGCGUUAAUCGGAAUUACUGGGCGUAAAGCGCGCGUAGGUGGUUCAGCAAGUUGAAGGUGAAAUCCCCGUGCUCAACCUGGGAACUGCCUCCAAAUCUACUGAGCUAGAGUACGGUAGAGGGUAGUGGAAUUACCUGUGUAGCGGUGAAAUGCGUAGAUAUAGGAAGGAACACCAGUGGCGAAGGCGACUACCUGGACUGAUACUGACACUGAGGUGCGAAAGCGUGGGGAGCAAACAGGAUUAGAUACCCCUGUAGUCC
rnacentral:rRNA from 1 species